UCCAAUUUUCAAUAUUUUUGUUUCCUAUUUUUUAGGAGAAGAUAUCUCAUGCACAAAUUAUUUCUGAAUAUGUAGUUAAUUCCUUAUAUAAUACCACUAGAAAAAAGAGAGGAAAAACCCUUCUCAUUUUUUCACUUAUGAUAAUUCCGAUUUUCUACUACCGCUCUCUCUCUACCGCCUCCGCUGAACACUGUUUCAGCCUCUGCAGGAACAACUUUAAGGAACAAAGGAGAAUUGCAACAAGGAAAAGCAAGAGAAGUACAACAAGGAAAAGCAAGAGGAAGUCAAAUGAAUGUCACAUUAUCUCUUAUAUGAUUCACAGUUUUGUAUAGCUAGAUAAAUUUAGACUUUGAUAUUUAGUGUUAGAUUUUUUUUAACAAUAUAGUAUUAUUUUACA